rnacentral:rRNA from 1 species
GACGUAGGGGGCAAGCGUUAUUCGGAAUUAUUGGGCGUAAAGCGCUCGUAGGCGGGACUGGAAGUCCGUGUUGAAAGACCUCGGCUCAACUGAGGGACCGGCUCGGAUACUCUAGUUCUUGAGGCAAUCAGAGGGUGAUGGAAUUCCCGGUGUAGCGGUGGAAUGCGUAGAUAUCGGUAGGAACACCAGUGGCGAAGGCGACUUACUGGACACAUAUUGACGCUGAGGUGCGAAAGCGUGGGGAGCAAACAGG